rnacentral:rRNA from 1 species
UGGGGAAUAUUGCACAAUGGGCGCAAGCCUGAUGCAGCCAUGCCGCGUGUGUGAAGAAGGCCUUCGGGUUGUAAAGCACUUUCAGCGAGGAGGAAGGUGGUGAGCUUAAUACGCUCAUCAAUUGACGUUACUCGCAGAAGAAGCACCGGCUAACUCCGUGCCAGCAGCCGCGGUAAUACGGAGGGUGCAAGCGUUAAUCGGAAUUACUGGGCGUAAAGCGCACGCAGGCGGUUUGUUAAGUCAGAUGUGAAAUCCCCGGGCUCAACCUGGGAACUGCAUUUGAAACUGGCAAGCUAGAGUCUCGUAGAGGGGGGUAGAAUUCCAGGUGUAGCGGUGAAAUGCGUAGAGAUCUGGAGGAAUACCGGUGGCGAAGGCGGCCCCCUGGACGAAGACUGACGCUCAGGUGCGAAAGCGUGGGGCAGCAAACAGGAUUAGAUACCCUGGUAGUCCAGCGCUGUAAACGAUGUCGAUUUUGGAGGUUGUGCCCUUGAGGCGUGGCUUCCGGAGCUAACGCGUUAAAUCGACCGCCUGGGGAGUACGGCCGCAAGGUU